ensembl:lncRNA
GUUAUUACCAAUAUUUGUCCUCCAGUUGGCGAUGGUGGGCUAGGACGAUUGCUGUUCUUUCUCGGCAUGAUGAUUCCCAACAUCCAGUUUUAGACCUGAGGAUGAAGAAAAAACUGAUUAACAAAGUGAUGGCACAUUUAAAAAUUCUCUCACUUCAGGAUGAGAUGCUCUGUCUUCUUACGUUUUUCUUGUAAAACAGGAUUUAGGCCAAGUACUACAGACCCAGUUGUGUGGAACACCUGUUUGUAGGUGAGCCAGUGAUCUGUUGUAGAGUCUGGACUCUCCUCAGGAUGGACAGAAUUACCAUUGUAGUGCCCUGAAAUCAUAGUAGGACAAAUGAAUCCAACUUCUGAAGGUCAACUGAUUUAAGCAUACAAUGAUUUUGACAAUGAAAAGUAACACGUUCUAUUAAAUCCUUCUCUGUCUUUUUUUUUUUUUUUUUACCUGACUCUGUGCUUCCAUAAUUAUGAAUGAAGCUUACAAGACUGUAACAGCCUCCAACCUGAGAAGGUACAAAGCCAAAGAGUGUUAGUUUUAUAAAGAAUCACAUCCAUUCCAUUCGCUUCCGCUUAUCCUUUUCAGGGUCGCGGGGGGCACUGGAGCCUAUCCCAGCUGUCAUAGGGCGGUGGUUAGCACUGUUGCCGCACAGCAAGAAGGUCCUGAGUUCAAUUCCACCAUCAGGCCGGGGUCUUUCUGUGUGGAGUUUGCAUGUUCUCCCCGUGUUUGCGUGGGUUCUCUCCGGGUACUCCGGCUUCCUCCCACCGUCCAAAGCCAUGCAGCUUGUGGGGAUAGGUUAAUUGAUUAAUCCAAAUUGUCACUAGGUGUGAAUGUGCGAGUGAAUGUGAGUGUGAAUGGUUGUCUGUCCCUGUGUGUUAGUCCUGUGACAGACUGGCGACCUGUCCAGGGUGUACCCCGCCUCUCGCCCUAUGACAGCUAAAGAAUCACAUCAGUGCGAUAAUUAGGCUGAUUCUCUGAGAUGUUCUGCAGUCUGUUUUUACCUGUUUGGAUGACACAACCAAGUCUCUCUGCAGCCUGACGGGGUCCUGAAGCCUGUAGGUUUGAGUGAGG